CCCAUGUAGACCUACCUGGUUCCGAAGGUUAUCGAUCAUCCCCAAGUGGCAAGUCAUGUCUUUACGGUCACCAAGGGAUCUUCUCUCCCAAUGUUCCUUGAUCUGUAGCUCAAGCUGCGUGUUGGUUCCCUCUAGUGAGUGCACCUGAGCCACACAACAUCGAGCCUCACACAUUCAUACAACACACAUCCUAGGUAGACUUCUCACUGUUUUAGCCACUAAGAGAGGAAUCACAACUGAGUACUUGAAAGCACUGGGUGGCCGUUCUAUCGCAUCUGACCAGAAUAUCAUUUGAUUUUUACAUCUAAUGAUAGGAGAAAGUGAAUGGUAGUUCUUUAGGCUAACAGUGAAAAAAGAAAACCCUACAAUUGUGAUGCGAAAAGGUAUCUAAUUUAGAUUCUCCGUGUAGGACGCAAAGCGACCAUUAAGAUCUUCCAGGUUCUCCCUCUUGCUGAUGCACAGGGAGCUUGAGAAUUUUGUCAUGCUCCCCGAGACACUUGAUGCAUACCCCAUUAAGGUCUAAUACCCUCCUGCACCACCACAAACACUGUUCCAGUGUCCCCCUCUGCAGUCGUGGGAGAGCUGCUUAGCGCCACUGGCACGGAACAACUGCAUUGAUGCUGUCAACGUCCCUCCAACCUGGGGUCUGAUGUGAUGCUAUAAAGGGCUUUUUUGAACUGUGCAAAAAUGUUACAUGUUUUUGUCUAUUGAAAGCAAGGGUGGGUGUGAAGAAACCCUGCCCACCACAGAUCUACAAAAACAGUUGUGGGUAUGUCUAUGAUGGAAUUAUGUUUUCUUCUCUUUCAAAUGUAAAUUGGAUGGUUCUGAAGGCAGGAUCACAGUGGAAAAAGGUCUGUAUGGAGACAGAAUACCUUGUAAAACGUUUUUUUUUUUCUUGAAGUGGACCAAUAAAUACAUUUUUAAGUUGC